rnacentral:tRNA from 1 species
GCCUGGGUGGCUCAGUUGGUUAAGCGUCCGACUGUGGCUCGGGUCUGAUCUCACCGUUUGUGGGUUCGAGCCCCGCAUCGGGCU